GAUGAACGCUGGCGGCGUGCUUAACACAUGCAAGUCGAACGAAGCAUUUAGAACAGAUUACUUCGGUUUGAAGUUCUUUAUGACUGAGUGGCGGACGGGUGAGUAACGCGUGGGUAACCUGCCUUGUACUGGGGGAUAGCAGCUGGAAACGGCUGGUAAUACCGCAUAAGCGCACAAUGUUGCAUGACAUGGUGUGAAAAACUCCGGUGGUAUAAGAUGGACCCGCGUCUGAUUAGCUAGUUGGUGAGAUAACAGCCCACCAAGGCGACGAUCAGUAGCCGACCUGAGAGGGUGACCGGCCACAUUGGGACUGAGACACGGCCCAGACUCCUACGGGAGGCAGCAGUGGGGAAUAUUGCACAAUGGAGGAAACUCUGAUGCAGCGACGCCGCGUGAGUGAAGAAGUAAUUCGUUAUGUAAAGCUCUAUCAGCAGGGAAGAUAGUGACGGUACCUGUCGAAGAAGCUCCGGCUAAAUACGUG
rnacentral:rRNA from 1 species